rnacentral:rRNA from 1 species
AACGAACGCUGGCGGCAUGCCUAACACAUGCAAGUCGAACGAGACCUUCGGGUCUAGUGGCGCACGGGUGCGUAACGCGUGGGAACCUGCCCUUAGGUUCGGAAUAACUCCCCGAAAGGGGUGCUAAUACCGGAUAAUGUCUUCGGACCAAAGAUUUAUCGCCUUUGGAUGGGCCCGCGUUGGAUUAGCUAGUUGGUAGGGUAAAAGCCUACCAAGGCGACGAUCCAUAGCUGGUCUGAGAGGAUGAUCAGCCACACUGGGACUGAGACACGGCCCAGACUCCCACGGGGGGCAGCAGGGGGGAAAUUGGGAAAAUGGGCGAAGGCCUGAUCCAGCAAGGCCGGGUGGGGGAUGAAGGCCUUGGGGUUGAAAAGCUCUUUUACCCGGGAUGAUAAUGACAGUACCGGGAGAAAAAGCCCCGGCUAACUCCGG